rnacentral:rRNA from 1 species
AUACGGAGGGUGCGAGCGUUGUUCGGAAUUAUUGGGCGUAAAGCGCGUGUAGGCGGUCUUUUAAGUCUGAUGUGAAAGCCCUGGGCUCAACCCAGGAAGUGCAUUGGAAACUGGGAGACUUGAAUACGGGAGAGGGUAGUGGAAUUCCUAGUGUAGGAGUGAAAUCCGUAGAUAUUAGGAGGAACACCGGUGGCGAAGGCGCCCUUCUGGACGGCAACUGACGCUGAGACGCGAAAGCGUGGGGAGC